CAGCGGUUUUAGUGACCGCCACUGUAGUGAUAUCUGAAGAGGCGGUCUUAAAUAAACCGGAUGUGCACCUCCAGCCAUUAACUCUCCAUUCGAUCUAACUACUUAGAGUCCCUAACCUCAUGAUCUCUUACUCUCCAGAGUGAAAUCCCCUAUCAAAUCCAUUCAUUCAUCGUACUGCAUUUUUUGGAUGAUUCCUCAGGGAUAUACUUGUAUGCCUAAUGUCGAAUGAAUCAAGGGAGUUGUUGGCCGUUGGCCGUCUUCGUGGUAUCCCUUCAAGCCCCUCUAGUAAGCCAAGGCGAUCCCUCCCUGUUUAUCCUAUUAAUUCCAGGGGAAGUACAACCAUAUUCUACUUUGUUCAUUGCAAAUCUGGGUCCAAAUUGCACUGAAGAAGAACUGAAGCAAGCAUUGUCUCAUGGAGCCCUCUGAGAAAUCUGUAGAAAUAAUGAGGAAGUUCUCAGAGCAGUAUGCUCGCAAAUCAAGAACAUAUUUCUGUGUUGAUAAAGGAGUCACUUCUGUUGUUCUCAAGAUUUGUUGAAGUGCUUACCAGUGGUACAUUUCAUCAGAGUGAUGAGAUCAAAUUCUUUUAAUAUGUCAGCAAUGCCUCAAAUGAAUUUAAAGGGAUUGGUAGAUCAUAAAGAUUCAUUAGGUGCUCCACUUUGCCCUUGUAGGUAAACAUUCUGACUGACCCUGCUUGAGCAGAACUUUUCCCUGUCUAUUGAAAAUAGCUUCUAUGUUCAAUCCACUAUUUGUGACAAGGCUGCGGAGGUAGGGCGAGGGUUUUGGAAUUGUCCAUGUGCUCCGAUGAGGGAAAUACACAAUUCCUCUGCAAGGCUUGACGGCCUUGGUUCCGACUCUGCCCCAAUGUGGCAUGCAACAGUGUCCAACUCCAACUAGAAGAUGCUAAGAGAAUAGCAGCCCGAGCGGAUGCCACAGUUUUAGUAGUAGGUGCUGAUCAAUCAAUCGAGGCAGAGCGCCGUGACAGAGUUGAUCUUCAUCUUCCUGGGCAGCUUGCACUUUUAGUAACAGAGGUUGCAAAUGUAUCCAAGAGACCUGUGAUUCUUGUUAUCAUGUCUGGAGGAGGCAUGGAGCUAGAGCAAAGAUUGUCUGACCAGUAUCUUCAAGGACACAAUCUUUCAAGUGGUAAGGAUGUCUCUGAAUUUGCCAAUUCAUCUGUUAAAAUUGAAGAGUGCAAAUCAGAACUAUCAGGAGAUGGGGAGGCCCACAUGCCUUACAUCUCUACUGAACCCAUGGAUGAGUUCUCCUGCACAGCUGCUUCAUUGGAUGCAAAAGUGGAACAUUUCAAUAGCCAGCCAGGCAAAGCCGGAGAAGGUUAAACCAUUAUGUUAAGAAGUGGAUUUGCAUUGAAA